GCUCAGGCGACGAUAGUGCUGGUCUGAGAGGAUGAUCAGCCACACUGGGACUGAGACACGGCCCAGACUCCUACGGGAGGCAGCAGUGGGGAAUUUUCCGCAAUGGGCGAAAGCCUGACGGAGCAAUACCGCGUGAGGGAGGAAGGCUCUUGGNUUGUAAACCUCUUUUCUCAGGGAAGAAGAUNUGACCGUACCUGAGGAAUNAGCCUCCGCUAACUCCCUGCCAGCAGCCCCNGUNAUNCCGNNGAAGCNAGCNUUNUNCCGAAUUNUUGGGGAAAAANGCGUCCGAA
rnacentral:rRNA from 1 species